AGGUUUUGGUGGCUCUAAAAAGUACCACUGGUUUAUCCCAUGUUUUGGUCGCCACCGAUAUGGGUGACUACGGUUCCGCUUCGCUUGUCCGUUAUCGGCACAUGCAACAUCUCGACGGAAACUUCUUCAAACUUAUCCAUGAUCAUAUAGUUGAAAAAUCCCAAGGGAUGACUUACAACCCUGCGUCUCACGUACAAGAUCGCGGCGUGAUAGCACUGGUUGAUCUGACUUUGAUCUCUCGCGCGCAGUAUCUUAUAAGCGCCGGGAAGGGCACAUUUCAAGAGUGGAUUGGAGCGAAGUUCUUAGAGAAUCAUCGUAAUGAUGCACAGUUAUGGUCAAAAAUUACUGUGUGUACAUAACGGGUGGAUAUGGCAAAUACACUGACAGGGCCGUAGCUAGAACGAUAAUGGGCCUUUCGCCUUUUGACUAAAAUUUAGAUCUCAACAAGUCUAGACAAAAUUUCAUCACAGCUUGAAAGAGCAUCACAAAAUUAGUAAUAUUCCGAAGUUUCGUUGCGAAAUGUUGUAAAAUGCAGACAAUAUGGCCCUG